CUCAAAUGAUCCGCCCGCCUCGGCCUCCCAGAGUGCUAGGAUGACAGGCGUGAGCCACCGCACCCGGCCCCUAUCUCUUGCCAAUAAAGACUGUUCUGGUCUUUCCAGUGGGGAGUCAAGAGGGCGCUCACUUCCUUUGAUGUCGAGGAAGCACCAAGAAGAAGCUGCCCAGCAGCCCCCAAGACAGACGGCAGAUGCGUCCUAGUCGGGGAGACGCCCGAAGUCCCUGCAGCUUCUCUGCUGAGUGAGGCACUAGGACCUGCGCCUUCUCCUGGGCUGAGACUGUUCCCCUGUGUGUCAGUCAGGGUAGGGGUGUCAGAGGCUUUCCUAGAUGCUCAGAUCCUUCAUAACUCCCAGCGGAGUGGAGAAAGCAAUUCUGAGCCUCCUGGAGGCCUCCCUUCCCCUGGAGAGCUGUGACUCCCUUCCGUGGCUGCCUGUACCCUGCCUCACUUCGGCCGCGUUUGCUCCCCAGGUAGUGCCCGCCCAGUCUGUUUCCUCUGCAGCAAGGCUGGCAAGGGGCCAGGCCGUGGGAGGAGAGAAGUUCCCGCCUGAGGCACAGCAGCAGCUGCAGACACAGCGCCGACCGAAUGCACACCCCUUCCAGAGACCCCGGGAAACGCAGCCCUGGCUGGAGAGCCAGUUGCUUUCUGUGCUCUGUUGUGGGGAGGCCUCUGGGAAAGUCACGCCCACUGUUGAGAAAAACAUGAGAUCUGCAUGUGCUGUCCGUGCCUGAGGUCUGCACCCACGGUCCUGUCCCAGGUGCCUCUACAGGCAUAGGGUCCAGGACUGGUGACACCCCUGCAGACCUUCUCCCUCACCCGUGCCACCCCAGGGGACGCUGUGUCCAGCAACGGUGUUUACCUAGAAGACAGGCCUUGAGUGUGUGGGAAGGACGGGCCACAGGUCAAGUGGCAGAGAGAGGGCACCCUGUCUCCUCAAGGUGCACCCACCACCACCCCAGACACCGAAGGUAGAGGAGAAGUGCACAGAAUUAUCAGUCACUUGCUACCUCAACGAAGGCAUACGAAGACAUCUGUGGAGAUGUCUACAAAGACAGCUAGUAGCAGCCGUCUCAAAAUAAGUCAAAGAAGUAUGUCUUAGGACGCGACACGUGUCUCAGCAGUCCGGAAUCCAGUUGUCCUUGCCAUGGUGACAAGCGAGAAAUACUUUUAUCUUAAAACUGGUUGGAAUUUGAACUUGAAGCCUUCCAAUUUUAUAUUCCAUGUUAAGUAUCUGUGAACAUAAUCGCACCUCAAACAAGCAAAAUGCGGCCUGCAUGCCAUGUGGGUCAGGAGCGUGCGCGGUGCAAGUUUCCCUUUUCUGCGUAGCCAGUCACCGCCGACCCCGAGGCUCAGAGGAACAGGCGUUCGCCAGCUGCCAGCUCUUCAGGUCAGAAAUCAGUGUGGGUCCUGUGUGUGUGGCCUCCAGGUCCCAGCCCUCCUGGGCUGCUUCUAGAGGCUCUGAGAAGAACCCACAUCUCAGCUCCUCCAGGCUGGUGGCAGAAUUCGGAGCCUUGGGGUGGUAGGACUCUCUCCGGCUGCCAGGCGGGGGCACUCUCAGCCCCUGGAUGCCAGGGUCCUGCUCUCUGCACUUGGGACCCGGUGCCUGCGAGUCUCCUCUGAGUCACCCUUUCCUUUCCUGGAAGGUGUCCUCUGGGUGCAGCUGAGUAGGGCCACAGCCAGCUCCCGCAGGAGGCUUUUAAGGUCUAGCCAUGCCCUUCACUCUCACACUGCCCCGCCUCUGGCAGCACAGGCUUGCGGUGUCUCUGUUGAUCUAAAACUCUCUAGGAGGGCCAGGAUUAGCCGGAUCAUGCCAAGGUCAAAUGCACAGACCCUUUAGGAAAAGCCCUCCCCUCUCGCUGGCCCCUGCUGCGCCGGCCCAGGGGCAGCAAACUUGAGCUUCCCGGGGGCCCCUGGUGGGGCGGGGGCAGUUCCAGACACACCUUCAUUGGCCUCUGCCUGAGAGGUUCCUGAGACCGAGAACUUUGGCAUUUCGGCCCCACUAAUCACCUCCUAAAGGAAUUUUACUUGAAGCCUUAACCUGGAAUGCUGUGGCAUUGGGGAUUAAGUUUCAGCGUGAAUUUUGGGAGGGCGCGACCUUCAGACACAGCACUCCGCCCCUGGUUCCCCCGAAUUCAUGCACUUCUCACCUGUGAAAUACAUUCGUUCUGCAUCAACAGUCCCCAGAGCCCCAGCUCAUUCCAGCAUUGACUCAAAAGUCUAAAGCCUCACAUACAUCACCUCCAUCAGAUAGGUGCGAGACGCAAGGCAUGGGUCACCUGGAGACAAAUUUCCCCUCCAUCUUGCGCUUGCAAAUCACACAGGUGGGACAGGCGCAGCGGACACUCCAGUUCCAGGAGAAGGAGGCAGAGAGAGGAUUGGUAGGUCCCACCUCAGUCCAAAACGCAACGGGGCAAAGAGCAUGGCGUCUGGAGCUUGACCACCGUCUUGUUGGACUGCACCAACCACCUCUGGUCACGCUGGGGUGAGUGCCGGACCCAACCCCAUGGCAAGCCCUGCCCCCGCGGCUCCACUAGGUGCAGCCCACACAGGGCUCCGGCCCUGCGAGGCUGGCGGUGCAGGCUGACGGCUCAGUAGUCCGCCGUCUGGGGCGUCGCUCCGCCUGUGGCCGUCCGGCCUCCCGCAGCUCACACACUGCACAGCGCAGGCUUAGCCCCGCCGGGACAUCUUCCGGGCCACAGCCUGCACCCUCCAGUGCGUGUCCCCAGGUGCUCCCUGGCCGGCUUGAACCAGGGCUCAGGAGGCAGAGGAGUGCGGGGCCAGGAAGCAGGCAGCAGAAAACGCAGGCGGCCCCGAACGGUGAUCUCUAGGGCCACAGAGGCUCGCCGGGGCCCUCUCCUGGAACUGUUCUGUCCUGAAGGCCCCGGCACGCUGGGGCUGUGGUGGGAGUGGCGGCCUCGCAGCUCUCCAAAGGGCUUUCGGAGUCACUGCACAGCCGCGCCGCCUCCUUAGCAGGCGUCCACUCGGCUACACGCGUGCCGUUCUCUUUUGCACACACCUUUCGAACUUUCACAGCAUGGCCAGGCUGGGAAUUCCCCAAAUCUUUAAGUUCUGCUUGCCAUUUGGUGGUAAGUUUCCUCUGUAAUUCGCUCUCUUCUCCCAGGUUUUACCACAAGCUGUGGAGAGGAGCCAUGAGCACCCUGAGCCCGUUGCUUAGAGAUUUCUUGCACCGGAUGUCCUGUGCAUGCCUCUAAAGUCCUGUCUUCCCCCAAGCAGCAGGACGCGGGCACAGCUCAGCCACGCUCCUGCCGCGGCAUCGCGAGGGCGGCCUUUCCCGCAGCCCAGUAAGGCGUCUCCCCGUCACCCCGCACUCCUCGGAACGGCCUUCGCCGCCGCGUUUCUGCCGGCAUUCUGACCAAGACACUUAGGCGGAGGCCGAGGCUGCCCUUGGUCCGAGGACUCCUCAGAAUGACCCUGGGGCUUGGCUCACGGCGGUCCAGGCUCUCCAGAGUGGACCUCGAUCCUCCCAGCCCUGACCCAUCGCCCGGAUCCAAAACCGCGUCCACCUUCUCAGGUUUCUGCUCUGGCAACACCUCUUCCUGGCAUCAUCGUCUGCCCUCAGCCUGUCCCGCUACUGGGACAGAACACCUAAGACUGGGCCGUUUCUAAGGAACGUGAAUUUGUUUUCCACACCUGGUGAUGCUGGAAGUCCCGCAGCAAAAUGCCGGAAGGUUCAGCUCCUGGCGAGGCGCAGUCUCUGCUUCCACCAUGGUGCCCUGGGGCCGACGCCUCCAGAGAGGAACAGCGAGUCCGCGUCUGGAGGGCACGGGAGGGCUGAGCUUGGCCCCCUGAGCCUUUUAUAAGGCUCUAAUCCAUUUGGCAGCCCGAGCUCAAUCCCCUCCUACAUGCUGUGCUGGGGAUCAGGUUUCAAGGUGAGGUUUGGAGGGUGCCCAAACAUCAAGCCACGGCUGCCACCAGGUUGGCGCUCAUCUGUUAAGCAGCCAAACAUAUUUGUUCGUGAUAAAAAACAAAGUUCUUUUCUGUCUGCGUAAUCAUUACUACGCUUCAUAUUAAGUGUGUAUAAAUUAGAAUGGAUGAGGGAGCAGCCACGGACUAACUCGGCCCCCUUCAGCGGCUGCUGGAGUGCGAGUAGGUGAAGCGUCGGCCGCCGAACCUGCCCCAGCUCCCCAGGGCAAACUGCGCCAGGGUGGGCGUCGGAUGCUGGGCCCAGGCGCAUUGGAGCCCCCGACUCUGCACUUACACCCCCUGUCCGCAACCACAGGAGCAGCUCAACAGGAGGGGCAGCGGAAGCAAAUUAUUCCAGAGAAACGGACAGACAUAGCUUGCAGAAGCUCAAAGGUUUUCUUGACCCAGUUGAUCGUCACUAAUCACCAAGGAACUCGCCACUUAGUUUCCUGCACGCUGGACUUCAGUGUCAGACAGCACUUAUGUCUGCCACACAGGUAACCGGCCGCGGGCCUGUCUCUCCACGCAGUCCCUCAAAUGCUUAUUUGUACACCUUUUUGUGUGUCUGUCUCUCCUCCUAAGCAGCAAGCAUCAUGUAUAUCGUAUUUCCCAUUUCAUCUCCAGUGUUUGGAACUUGGUGGAGAGAAAGGCAAAUCACGGUCAUGCACAGCGAUGUCCUUAGACUGCACUGAACCAAAGCUAAAGCAAACGCAUUCCACGUUGACGGGUCGGCAUUUUGAUUCUAUUUUCUGUGCAAGCAGUAGAGGGGAGGUGAGAAUGUCCGACUGUCACAGUGUUAGAGGAGACAGGAGCCCAAUGUAUGAGGACGCCGCAGUCACGGAAAGGCAGGACAGGAAGGGUCUGCUGCGGGACGGCUGGGAUUGGAAGACAAAGAGUGACACGCAGCAGCCACGGCGACGCUGCUGUGGGCACGGGAGUGCAAGCGCAGAGCCUGCGUCUGCAAACUGAAAGAGAAGAAUUCACCGUGUGGAGCGCUGGCAUCUUUCCUUGUGCUCAUUACCUGGCAGCGAAUGUUUUUCUCCCCCCAUAAACAACCAUGAAAUGAGAGAAAGUAUGUGAAAUGUCUGUUCUCAGACACUGGGCACAAGUACAGGGUCCCCUGGGGUCUCCUGCUGGGGACUGCCCAGUGCCUGCGUCUGAGGGAAGUGCCCAAGCACCGCAGGAAGGCGAGGCGGGAGCCAGGCGCGGCGCCCCCGUCACUCUCGGGUCCUCACGGAUGUUCUCGGAGCCUGCCGUGCAGUGCUGGGCAGACACCCACCCUGCUCCAAGUGCGGAGCUGGUGACCCUGAACCGAACCUCAGUGCAAAACCAAAGCAUGAAACUGCUUCCAGAGACUUGACCUGCAAGCCCAAUAAGACGUCGGAGUUCAUAAGAAUAAAAACAUUCAACGCCCGAAAAGGUGAAAUGCACAGUCUACCUGCGCACGCCGGGGAAGUGGGAGGUGUGACCCCUGCUACCGGGAAACGUUGACCUGCAGACACAGGCCAAGAAGGUGUUGCUGCGUGGGCAGCAGAAUUCACAGGCGGCGACGUUGCUGAGGACGGGGCGGCUGUGUGUUGUGCACUCAGAGACGAGGGACAGGACUGCACGUGGUGAGUGGAGACGCAGCCUGCUCCCCUCCCCCUGCCCCUUCCAGGUGAGCCCUCACAGACAAGACCCCCUCCCCCUCCCGCCACCCAGCUGACAGCAUGUCCUGGCCCACCACUGCCACGCCCUGUGACUGUUACUGUCCCCGGGUCGCCCAGGUAACCAGCCCGGGCGGGAGGCUGGGGCCUGAGGAGGCCCUUUGUUCCCUGUCAGAGCCUCCCUGGGGGGAAGUGGCCCCAGCAGCCGGUUCAGACCUGGCUUCCCUGAGGACACUCCGUCUCACCACUCUCUUUGCAUGAAUCCCCCGGAGCUGGGCCGUGAGGCCGGCAGGGGGGCCAGGUGCCCUCAGGGUCUCCCUCGUGCUGCUCGGGCUCUG